ACGCCGGCGGCGUGCCUAACACAUGCAAGUCAACUUGACUGAAGGAGCAAUCUGACAGUAGAGUGGCGCAAGGGUGCGUAACGCGUAAGUAACUUGCCCCAAGGUAAGGAAUAACGUCGAGAAAUCGGCGCUAAUACCUCAUAAUGCAGCGGAUCCGCAUGGAUAUGUUGUUAAAGGUUUACCGCCUUAGGAUAGGCUUGCGUCUGAUUAGUUAGUUGGUGUGGUAACGGCACACCAAGGCUACGAUCAGUAACUGGUCUGAGAGGAUGAUCAGUCACACUGGAACUGAGACACGGUCCAGACUCCUACGGGAGGCAGCAGUGAGGAAUAUUGGGCAAUGCUCGAAAGAGUGACCCAGCAACGCCGCGUGGAGGAUGAAGGUAUUCUAUAUCGUAAACUCCUGUGAGAGCAGACGAAAGACAGAUUAUUAAUCUGGAUGACUGUAUGCUCAGAGGAAGCCCCGGCUAACUACGUG
rnacentral:rRNA from 1 species